UACGAAGGGUGCAAACGUUGCUCGGAAUUAUUGGGCGUAAAGAGCUCGUAGGCGGCUUGUCACGUCGGGUGUGAAAGCCCGGGGCUUAACCCCGGGUCUGCAUUCGAUACGGGCUAGCUAGAGUGUGGUAGGGGAGAUCGGAAUUCCUGGUGUAGCGGUGAAAUGCGCAGAUAUCAGGAGGAACACCGGUGGCGAAGGCGGAUCUCUGGGCCAUUACUGACGCUGAGGAGCGAAAGCGUGGGGAGCGAACAGG
rnacentral:rRNA from 1 species